GACGAACGCUGGCGGCGUGCUUAACACAUGCAAGUCGAACGGUAAGGCCCUUCGGGGUACACGAGUGGCGAACGGGUGAGUAACACGUGGGUGAUCUGCCCUGCACUUCGGGAUAAGCCUGGGAAACUGGGUCUAAUACCGGAUAGGACUCCUGGCUUCAUGGUUGGGGGUGGAAAGCCUUUGCGGUGUGGGAUGGGCCCGCGGCCUAUCAGCUUGUUGGUGGGGUAAUGGCCUACCAAGGCGACGACGGGUAGCCGGCCUGAGAGGGUGACCAGUCACACUGGGACUGAGAUACGGCCCAGACUCCUACGGGAGGCAGCAGUGGGGAAUAUUGCACAAUGGGCGCAAGCCUGAUGCAGCGACGCCGCGUGAGGGAUGACGGCCUUCGGGUUGUAAACCUCUUUCAGCUAUGACGAAGCGCAAGUGACGGUAGUAGCAGAAGAAGGACCGGCCAACUACGUGCCAGCCGCCGCAGUAA
rnacentral:rRNA from 1 species